rnacentral:rRNA from 1 species
UGGCUCGUUCCUGACACUGAGGCACGAAAGCGUGGGUAGCAAACGGGAUUAGAUACCCCGGUAGUCCACGCCGUAAACGAUGGAUGCUAGCUGUUUUCAGUAUCGACCCUGGAAGUAGCGAAGCUAACGCGUUAAGCAUCCCGCCUGUGGAGUACGGUCGCAAGACUAAAACAUAAAGGAAUUGACGGGGACCCGCACAAGCGGUGGAGCGUGUUCUUUAAUUCGAAGGUAAGCGAAGAACCUUACCCAGGUUUGACAUCCUUGGAAGGUCUCCGAAAGGAGACUGUGCAUUUGAGCCAAGUGACAGGUGUUGCAUGGCCGUCGUCAGCUCGUGUCGUGAGAUGUUUGGUUAAGUCCAUUAACGAGCGCAACCCUUUUAGUUAGUUGGAUUUCUCUAACUAGACUGCCCUGGCAACAGGGAGGAAGGAGGGGAUGAUGUCAGGUCAGUAUUACCCUUACAUCUGGGGCUAGAAACACGCUACAAUGGCCGGUACAAAGGGCAGCCAAGUCGCGAGACGGAGCAAAUCCCAUCAAAACCGGUCUCAGUUCGGAUAGCAGGCUGAAACUCGCCUGCUUGAAGCUGGAAUCGCUAGUAACGGUAGGUCAGCACACUACCGUGAAUACGUUCCCGGGUCUUGUACACACCGCCCGU